rnacentral:rRNA from 1 species
UACGUAGGGUGCAAGCGUUGUCCGGAAUUAUUGGGCGUAAAGAGCUCGUAGGCGGUUCGUCGCGUCGGCUGUGAAAACCCGGAGCUCAACUCCGGGCCUGCAGUCGAUACGGGCGGACUUGAGUGUUGCAGGGGAGACUGGAAUUCCCGGUGUAGCGGUGAAAUGCGCAGAUAUCAGGAGGAACACCGGUGGCGAAGGCGGUUCUCUGGGCAUUACCUGACGCUGAGGAGCGAAAGUGUGGGGAGCGAACAGG